rnacentral:rRNA from 1 species
AUACGUAGGGGGCAAGCGUUGUCCGGAUUUAUUGGGCGUAAAGCGCUCGCAGGUGGUCCGAUGCGUCGUGCGUGAAAGACCCCGGCUCAACUGGGGGGCGUCGUGCGAUACGGUCGGACUGGAGGCCAGUAGGGGGAUGCGGAAUUCCGGGUGUAGUGGUGGAAUGCGUAGAGAUCCGGAGGAACACCAGCGGCGAAGGCGGCAUCCUGGCCUGUUCCUGACACUCAGGAGCGAAAGGGUGGGGAGCGAUCAGGAUGAGAUACCGGGGUAGUCCACGCCGUAAACGAUGAGCACUAGGUGUCGGGGGUAUCGACCCCCUCGGUGCCGCAGCUAACGCGAUAAGUGCUCCGCCUGGGGAGUACGGUCGCAAGGCUGAAACUCAAAUGAAUUGGCGGGG